CAGAGGGUGCAAGCGUUGUUCGGAAUUACUGGGCGUAAAGCGCGUGUAGGUGGCGAGAUAAGUCGGGUGUGAAAUCCCUUGGCUUAACCAAGGAAGUGCAUUCGAUACUGUUUCGCUUGAGUAUCGGAGGGGUCGGCGGAAUUCCCGGUGUAGAGGUGAAAUUCGUAGAUAUCGGGAGGAACACCUGUGGCGAAGGCGGCCGACUGGACGAUCACUGACACUGAGACGCGAAAGCGUGGGUAGCAAACAGGAUUAGAUACCCUGGUAGUCCACGCUGUAAACGAUGAGUGCUAGACGUCAUGGGUAUUGACCCCUGUGGUGUCGAAGUUAACACGUUAAGCACUCCGCCUGGGGAGUACGGUCGCAAGAUUA
rnacentral:rRNA from 1 species